UACGGAGGGGGCUAGCGUUGUUCGGAAUUACUGGGCGUAAAGCGCACGUAGGCGGCUUUGUAAGUUAGAGGUGAAAGCCCAGGGCUCAACCCUGGAAUUGCCUUUAAGACUGCAUCGCUUGAACAUCGGAGAGGUAAGUGGAAUUCCGAGUGUAGAGGUGAAAUUCGUAGAUAUUCGGAAGAACACCAGUGGCGAAGGCGACUUACUGGACCGGUAUUGACGCUGAGGUGCGAAAGCGUGGGGAGCAAACAGG
rnacentral:rRNA from 1 species